rnacentral:rRNA from 6 species
GAGUUUGAUCGUGGCUCAGAUUGAACGCUGGCGGCAGGCCUAACACAUGCAAGUCGAGCGGAUGACGGGAGCUUGCUCCUUGAUUCAGCGGCGGACGGGUGAGUAAUGCCUAGGAAUCUGCCUGGUAGUGGGGGACAACGUUUCGAAAGGAACGCUAAUACCGCAUACGUCCUACGGGAGAAAGCAGGGGACCUUCGGGCCUUGCGCUAUCAGAUGAGCCUAGGUCGGAUUAGCUAGUUGGUGGGGUAAUGGCUCACCAAGGCGACGAUCCGUAACUGGUCUGAGAGGAUGAUCAGUCACACUGGAACUGAGACACGGUCCAGACUCCUACGGGAGGCAGCAGUGGGGAAUAUUGGACAAUGGGCGAAAGCCUGAUCCAGCCAUGCCGCGUGUGUGAAGAAGGUCUUCGGAUUGUAAAGCACUUUAAGUUGGGAGGAAGGGCAGUAAGUUAAUACCUUGCUGUUUUGACGUUACCGACAGAAUAAGCACCGGCUAACUCUGUGCCAGCCGCCGACCG